rnacentral:ncRNA from 1 species
GUUGAUAGAGGCGCGGCCGCGAUGAGUAUCCGUGGGGAGAAGACAUUCUGUGAUCCCGGAGAAAGGCAGAGCCGCCGAAAUGUAUCAGCCGGUAAGCUGAUAUGUUGGGGUAUGGAGAAAGACUUCAUACACUCCCGUCCUGGUAUAUAGGGCGGAGGCGCUAUCG